rnacentral:rRNA from 1 species
GCCGCGUGUGUGAAGAAGGCCUUCGGGUUGUAAAGCACUUUUGUCCGGAAAGAAAUGGCCCUGGCUAAUACCCGGGGUCGAUGACGGUACCGGAAGAAUAAGCACCGGCUAACUACGUGCCAGCAGCCGCGGUAAUACGUAGGGUGCGAGCGUUAAUCGGAAUUACUGGGCGUAAAGCGUGCGCAGGCGGUUUGAUAAGACAGGCGUGAAAUCCCCGGGCUCAACCUGGGAAUGGCGCUUGUGACUGUCAGGCUAGAGUGCGUCAGAGGGGGGUAGAAUUCCACGUGUAGCAGUGAAAUGCGUAGAGAUGUGGAGGAAUACCGAUGGCGAAGGCAGCCCCCUGGGACGUGACUGACGCUCAUGCACGAAAGCGUGGGGAGCAAACAGGAUUAGAUACCCUGGUAGUCCACGCCCUAAACGAUGUCAACUAGUUGUUGGGGAUUCAUUUCUUCAGUAACGUAGCUAACGCGUGAAGUUGACCGCCUGGGGAGUACGGUCGCAAGAUUAAAACUCA